rnacentral:rRNA from 1 species
GACGAACGCUGGCGGCGUGCUUAACACAUGCAAGUCGAACGGAAAGGCCCUGCUUUUGUGGGGUGCUCGAGUGGCGAACGGGUGAGUAACACGUGAGUAACCUGCCCUUGACUUUGGGAUAACUUCAGGAAACUGGGGCUAAUACCGGAUAGGAGCUCCUGCUGCAUGGUGGGGGUUGGAAAGUUUCGGCGGUUGGGGAUGGACUCGCGGCUUAUCAGCUUGUUGGUGGGGUAGUGGCUUACCAAGGCUUUGACGGGUAGCCGGCCUGAGAGGGUGACCGGCCACAGUGGGACUGAGAUACGGCACAGACUCCUACGGGAGGCAGCAGUGGGGAAUAUUGCACAAUGGGCGGGAGCCUGAUGCAGCAGCGCCGCGUGCGGGAUGACGGCCUUCGGGGUGUAAACCGCUUUCGCCUGUGACGAAGCGUGAGUGGCGGUAAUGGGUAAAGAAGCACCGGCUAACUACG